GGAGAUAAAAGGACCAGACGUUGUGUGCGUGCAUUACGGUGUCUGUAACCACACCCCUUCUCCUGUUGAGGUGCUUUCCUGAUUUGCCGGCCCUGUAUUCCUAGCCUUCCCUCUGACGCUCGCCUUCGGUAUGUCCUUGUCCCUGCAUGUUCAGUGAGGAACCGUACUUCGCCGCUGACCUCGUCGUUCCUGU